rnacentral:misc_RNA from 1 species
GUGAGUCAUCGAAUCUUUGAACGCACAUUGCGCCCGCUAGUAUUCUGGCGGGCAUGCCUGUUCGAGCGUCAUUUCAACCAUCAAGCCCCAGGCUUGUGUUGGGGCCCUGCGGCCACCCGCAGCCCCCGAAAAGCAGUGGCGGGCUCGCUGUCACACCGAGCGCAGUAGUAUAUCUUCGCUAGGACGUGGUCGCGGGUUCCAGCCGUUAAACACCCCAAUUUAUCAAGGUUGACCUCGGAUCAGGUAGGAAUACCCGCUGAACUUAAGCAUAUCAAUAAGCGGAGGA